AGAUAAUUUAGAAGUCGAGAAAAAGACAAAACUAAAUGGUAAGUUUGUAAAAUAUCUUAAAUGAUUCCAAAUUCAUUUUUCCUUUAGAUCAAUGUCUAAGUUUGGAGUAGUUGUAGACAUUUUUCAAUAAAAUGAUUUGUGUUAAUCUAAUACAAUUUAUCUGAAGGAAAAGGUCAAGAAAUAAGAACAUUUUUAAAAUAAGGUAUCUGGUGAAAGUAAAUACUGAAAACUCUGAGACUACAUGUUAGAUUUGUCUCUUGAAAAUUGUUUCAGAUAGCUUAAAACUCAUGAGAUUAUAAUGCUGAAUCUUUUAGAUUAUUCUUGCACGCGUAUUUUUUACAAGUGAGGAAUUUCAAACAAGAGAAAUUAUGACUCCGAUGAUAGAAUUUGGCAAAACUUUUACUAUAAGCCAGUCUUUUCAAAUCUGUUUGUUGUUCUUUCUAUGAAAUCUUUUUUGACUCUCUGAUUAUUCGAUAUAAUUGUCCUUAAAAUAAAAAAAAAAACCGUCUGGUUUUACUCUUCAUUUACAAGAGAUAUCAAUAGUGAAAAUUUAAAGUAAAUGAUUUGUUUUUUUAAAUUUAUUAAUAAACUGAUGAUGUAGCUAUGCAAUUCUAUGCUUAUUUUUAAUAUAUUUGAGGACACAGAGUUUUACUAGAUGACAAAAAAGGCUAGUCUAGUGUGGAUGGGUCUGCCUAUAUACUCUAUUUCUAUUUUAUUCAUUGUGCAGCACUGAUGAAAAAGAGAAGGUCUAAUUUUCUGGGUUCCAGUGACCCUCUGAUGAACACCGGGUGCUGGAGGUUUCUUCUAAAAGAUAGCAAGUUUAAAAUCUGAACUGGUGAAAAGUAAUUCAUAAUAAUGCUUACUUAAUCGGGAAAUAAAAAGAGGGACUAGAGUAUCUAAAUGCAGAUGAAAGACCUUAGCUCUGCUCUGUAUUUCUGUGGGUUAACCUCACAGUGGUUAAGAGAGUGGUUUAGAAACAACCAAUUUGCUGAGCAAUCCUGCUGACCAGUUCUCAACGGAAGACCUGGGGGAGUACUCUGUUGCUCUCCAGAGCUCUCUCUGUAAGGCCCUCUCCUCUCUUGUACUCUGCCCUGACAUUGCUAGCUGCCUUGGCCUCCUUGACAUUUCAUUCAGCUCCUGUCUUUCUCUCUAAAUCUAGGCUAGCAUUGGGUAUAGAAAGAUGAUCAGAGACUGGGAAGAGCUCAUGUAUUGGUUAAGAGAAAUCUGAUGCAGUAAUGUGGUCAGGCAUAUAUUUGUAAUAUUUUAUAGAGUAAAAACUCAAUGCUGUUAUAUUUUAUUGUUACAACAUAAGCAAAUCAAACUGUCCAACUCUCUACCUUUCUCCUGUUGCUUAUUAGAGUUGUUAAGUUUAGAAAGUAAUGGAUAGGUUGAGCUUCACAUUUUUUUGUCUCCUAUAAACUCCCACCGCAGUAAUAUAGUUUUUAUUGAUUACAUACACACAUAU
rnacentral:lncRNA from 1 species